AGUGAACGCUGGCGGUAGGCCUAACACAUGCAAGUCGAACGGCAGCACAGUAAGAGCUUGCUCUUACGGGUGGCGAGUGGCGGACGGGUGAGGAAUACAUCGGAAUCUACUUUUUCGUGGGGGAUAACGUAGGGAAACUUACGCUAAUACCGCAUACGACCUACGGGUGAAAGCAGGGGAUCUUCGGACCUUGCGCGAUUGAAUGAGCCGAUGUCGGAUUAGCUAGUUGGCGGGGUAAAGGCCCACCAAGGCGAUGAUCCGUAGCUGGUCUGAGAGGAUGAUCAGCCACACUGGAACUGAGACACGGUCCAGACUCCUACGGGAGGCAGCAGUGGGGAAUAUUGGACAAUGGGCGCAAGCCUGAUCCAGCCAUACCGCGUGGGUGAAGAAGGCCUUCGGGUUGUAAAGCCCUUUUGUUGGGAAAGAAAAGCAGCAGGUUAAUACCCCGCUGUUCUGACGGUACCCAAAGAAUAAGCACCGGCUAACUUCGU
rnacentral:rRNA from 1 species